CUUGUACUAUAGGCUAUUUUACUGACUGGGUUUUCAUGUGUAAUUGCGCUCCUCGGUUCGCAUGAGAAUGAAAGACGUACGCUCUCCGUGCCGUUAGCGCCACCGUCCACCUUUCAGCCCACCUGAGGAGGCGCACGUUACCUGUUGCCAAAAUGGAGAAAAACUAUCAAGGUGUCGGUAGGUGUAAAUGCGCGUUUUGGUUUGCCGUCGGUCAUGACAUAAUCGGAUUUUUAAUCCUUCUGAGUGGAGUGUUUUGGGACGUUUUCUUCCACGACUUUCUUUUAUAUGCUGGUGCCGUUAUAAUAUUCCUCAGUCUCAUAUGGUGGGUGUUCUGGUACUCUGGUAACAUCGAGGUGCCACCAGAGGAACUUGAAGAGGAUGUUGUUUUUUACAAGAAAAGCAAGGGAAUUUCAGGCGUUGUGCGGAAGGUCUCCAACGGCAUCAGAAACUCCUUCAGAAAGAAUGGAAGGGCCAACCAGGGAGGGAGUCCUAGGCUGGGAAACGGGACAGAAGACGUCCCACAAGUCCCUGGCGGCAUUUCUAUGAUUUCCUAUGGAAACACAGGGUCUGAACAACCCAAAUUCCACAGGGAACCGUUGUCAGUAUAAUUCUAAGAGCUGUAACCUCGCUGUCAACCAAGUCUUACACGAAGUUUGGACAUUUCGCUGCCAAAGAAGAAUUUCUUCAAAAUGAUGGACUAAAUAUGCUCAAACACACUUUGUUUUAUACAGUAUUGAUAAAACAAGUAUUGUAAAUAAAUUAAUACAAUUUUAUGUAUGACAGUUUGAAUUACAAAAUAAAAUGUAAAUUCAUUUAUUUUUAUUUUUCAACACUGGCUGUGUGGCUUAGCUUCAGUGAAGUCUACAUCAAUUAAAAAUCUUCUGGGCUUCCUAUGUGACCAUAUCUAAGUAUAUAAGCUUGUUUUGGGCCUCUACAAUCAUCUGCAUAUUCAAAACACGAGGUUAGAGGUUAUGAUGGCACUCUGUGGACUGACUUCUCCCUUGGGGUCCCACUGGGUUAGCUGUGUCCCAGUCAGACCAUGUAAAUAAUCCUGAUGGUGAAACUCAACAAAACGGAACUAUCAAGAAAAAUGAUUCAAAUUGUGGUCUGUGGGUCUACAAUGAAAUUCAUAUUUCAAUACAUUAAAACACAUACAAAUUGA